CCUUUUGUUAAUAUUAAAAGUAGUCUUUUAUAGUCAAGUGUAUUCAACACCGAAUUACGAAUGUUUAUUGAGAUUUGAGAAUGAACGCUAUAAAAGUCGCACGCUGGAGCCGGAUCGGAACAUUCAAGUAUUGUCAAAAAAACAAAAGAACGGUAACUCCGAAAAGCAUUUUGUAUAAUACUGACGACGACUAAAGUGCAGUCGAAACGUGGAUUCAUUAAAGCUACAAAAUGUAUUUUCGGAGUUACUGCUCUUUUGAAUUUUAUAAACAUGCUCAGUGGUUCGUGUACUUAUAUAUUUUCAUGUUCCAUGUAUUUUGCGGUGUUCAACAUUUAAAUGAGCUGCCAAAUUCCAAUAUCACAGUUAGUUUACUGUUCCAGAAUGUAAUGAUAGUAAUGUACAUUUGAAGUUCCAAAAACUGCGAUAUUUGGCAUCCUUUUAUUCUAGCUUUUGUAUUUUUUUAGGGUUGGGGAUAAAAACAACUCCCGUAGGAAUAGCGCGAAUCGAUUACAGGGCCAAGCAUGUCAAUGGAAGACAUAAGGAAACUGGACAUCGAGGCUUAUGAUAUACUUCAAGAUGCCAGUGUUAAUGAAGAUAUGUUAAUGGAUUUCAGUCGGGAUGAUCUAAAAGACUUGUUUGCCGGUGCAGAUAAAUUUUUGUUGAGAAAAAAGAUUUGGAAUAUUAUUGAGAAAGCUAGAGGAUGUAAAGAAAAAAUGUUAGAGUCUCCUAACUCUGCAAAAGUAAAGAUUAAUCAAACCCCAGUGGUAAAUCCUCAAACUCCUCCUGUACAAAAACAUUUGGGAAUUUCGCAGUCACAACUAUUGCGUUCACCUUCUUCCUGGUUGGAGAGUCCCCCUAGCCCUGC